GUGCAGAUAAACCCCAGAUGUCAUUUACUCUAAUAUUGAACUGGAAAACUUUGUUAAUAAGCGGAAGCAUCAUAAACCAGAGCAGAGUGCUGUUUACGCUAAUGUGAGGACGGGAGCUGCAGAAAACGCUGCUCUUUAUGAAUCAGUUACACAUGUGGAAGACACUAGAAAUGGUGUUGGUGACCCCAAAGAUGUCACAU